AUACGGAGGGUGCAAGCGUUAUCGGGAUUCAUUGGGUUUAAAGGGUACGUGGGCGGAUAGAUAAGUUAGUGGUGAAAUCCCGAAGCUCAACUUCGGAACUGCCAUUAAAACUGUCUAUCUUGAAUUUGGUUGAAGUGGGCGGAAUAUGACAUGUAGCGGUGAAAUGCAUAGAUAUGUCAUGGAACACCGAUAGUGAAGACAGCUCACUAAGCCAAUAUUGACGCUGAGGUACGAAAGCAUGGGUAGCGAACAGGAUUAGAAACCCCGGUAGUCC
rnacentral:rRNA from 1 species